rnacentral:SRP_RNA from 1 species
UAGGCUUGGCCGGGGAGCUUGGCGUGCCCUACACCUGCAAACGUCAUAGCAGGGGUGACAGUGGGGGGCGGCAGAGCUGAUGCGGCAGGCCCGCAAAGUAACUAUGAGACUUUGUCCUGUAGAGUCGGCGUACACUGUGUGCCUUUCCGGAGGGAAUGGUGCGCUUUGCUAAUCGGGGGGACUGGGUCAGGCCCUGACGGGAGCAGCCUUACCUUGAACUACUGACGUUUACGGGUUAGCAGGGUUGAGAAGCGAUGCGGUAAACCUGCAGGCGGAGGUGAUGUCCACCCCC